GCUCCUUCAGUAAUGCAGACACUGAAAUUCAAAUGACAGAGAAGGUUAGCAGGUACCCCGCAGAAGGACGACUUGCAAAUUCACGAAGCAUUCAAUAUUUUU
ensembl:snRNA U6 U6 spliceosomal RNA